rnacentral:lncRNA from 1 species
AUCUCCCCCUCCCGACUUAAUUGGGGGGUAGUAGCAAACCGGCACCUUGGAUACCUUAUGUCAAUGUGCUUUGGUCAUCAUGCAAGGAUUGCUUCUCUUCUUGCAUGGCUCUUCUCCACUUUUCCAAUUCAUAGGUGUUACUCUCAUGCAAGGAUUUCAUCUCUUCUUGCAUGGCUAUUCUCCACUCCGGUGUUAUUCUCAUGCAAGGAUUUCGUCUCUUCUUGCAUGGCUAUUCUCCACUCCACCAAUUCAUAGGUGUUAUUCUCAUGCAAGGAUUGCAUAUCUUCUUGCAUGGCUCUUCUCCACCACCAAUUCAUAAGUGUUAUUCUCAUGCAAGGAUUUCAUCUCUUCUUGCAUGGCUAUUCUCCACUCCACCAAUUCAUAGGUGUUAUUCUCAUGCAAGGAUUGCAUCUCUUCUUGCAUGGCUCUUCUCCAUUCUUCAAUUUUGUAAACACAUCCUUGAACAUGUCUCCAUCAUGAGCGAC